rnacentral:misc_RNA from 1 species
AAGUCGUAACAAGGUAACCGUAGGUGAACCUGCGGUUGGAUCAUUAAAAUAUAUCCGGGUGCUUGACUCGAAGCAGAAUGGAAGUUUUGUUUCAAGUUAAGCAGAUCUCACCAAUAUGUGCACCUGUAAUUGUCCGUUGGCGGCUGUCCAGUGCUCUGUGCUGCGACUUGCAUUCAAUUGCAAAGGCCGUCAACUUGUUUCUUUUUUCUCUUUCUUUUUUUUUAAAAAGAAAAAAAAAGGGGGACAACUUAAACCACAACAAACAACCAUAUUAUAUUUUUUUUAAAUAACUUUAACAAAAGAUAACCAAGAACAACUAUUAACAAUGGAUCUCUUGGCUCUC